rnacentral:rRNA from 1 species
AGUGAACGCUGGCGGUAGGCCUAACACAUGCAAGUCGAACGGCAGCACAGUAAGAGCUUGCUCUUACGGGUGGCGAGUGGCGGACGGGUGAGGAAUACAUCGGAAUCUACUUUUUCGUGGGGGAUAACGGAGGGAAACUUACGCUAAUACCGCAUACGACCUACGGGUGAAAGCAGGGGAUCUUCGGACCUUUCGCGAUUGAAAGAGCCGAUGUCGGAUUAGCUAGUUGGCGGGGUAAAGGCCCACCAAGGCGACGAUCCGUAGCUGGUCUGAGAGGAUGAUCAGCCACACUGGAACUGAGACACGGUCCAGACUCCUACGGGAGGCAGCAGUGGGGAAUAUUGGACAAUGGGCGCAAGCCUGAUCCAGCCAUACCGCGUGGGUGAAGAAGGCCUUCGGGUUGUAAAGCCCUUUUGUUGGGAAAGAAAAGCAGCAGGUUAAUACCCCGCUGUUCUGACGGUACCCAAAGAAUAAGCACCGGCUAACUUCGUG